AUUUCCAUUUUUUGUGGAGGCGGGUUUGCUAAUCGGCAAAAAAAUAAAAUGUUAUUUUUAUUUGGAAUCGUCAAUAUUUGUGUUCAGCAGGUUCGCUAAACAAGGUAAAAAAACCCCACCCUAUAGCCAGCAACUCGUUGCUUUUAAUACCCACACUACUGUAUAAUUGUAAGCCAGUGCUCUUAACCCACCUGAUAAACUGUAACCCAGUGCUCUCUUAAUUACCCAUCAUAUUAUAUUACAAGCGUAUAACAUGCGACAGGUUUCUUUUCUCCUUUCUGCUCUUAAUUUUCAUGAGUAUGUCUGACGUCAUCUUGGGCUUCCCAUGUUCUGAUUGGCUAAAAAAAAAAUCUAUAUUGCUUAUGUGUACUGCAAAGGAAAAAAAAAUAUGCGGGCGGGGCGGGGCGGAAAGGUCUAUAUUCAGAUUUUUAUUUUAAGUCUGUAUCGUGAGUGGAUUUCCUGCACGAUUAAAAAUCGUAACGGUACUGGGUUUGGUCUACAGUAUUCCGAAUUGUGCUUGUUUUCUUUUUUUUUGAAUUUGAUUUUACAGGUCUCCAAUAUAGACCACUUUUGAGACCGUGUUUUUUUUUUGUUUUUUUUUUUCGGUGGUGGUCUUCAGUAUCCCAUCGCUAUUGUUGCUAAGGCCCCACAAAUAUGUCAACGUAAUGUGCGCAAACGCGUGCGUCUGGGACAACACGUGUCUUUUCAGGAAUGCUUUAGGUUAGAUGAAACCGCCUGGUACUUGUAGACUAGACAGUAUAUAGCGCCGCCAACGAUAAAUACUUUCCUUUAUAGCCUUAAAUUUUGUAUCGUUGAUCGUGGUGAGCCGUGGCGUGUUGUUUAUUUCGAUUGAGCCGAAAGCAAUCGACCUUUGUAAGUGGUUAGCGGCACUACCCGUCUUGUGUGUCACAUCAAUAGCUGCUUGACAGUGCGUCAAUUUGAUACUCAUCACUU